UGUUGGAGUCAGCAAAUGCGUUUUGAGG
rnacentral:piRNA from 1 species